rnacentral:tRNA from 1 species
GCCACUGUGGCACAGUGGUAAUGCAAGUGCCCUGCAAGGCUGAUGUCAUAAUGACCAUGGGUUCGAAUCCAUGCAUUGGCU